UGAGGAAUUUUCCGCAAUGGUCAAAAGACUGACGGAGCGACACAGUGUGAAGGAUGAAGGUUUUCGGAUCGUAAACUUCUUUUCUGAGGGAAUAAAGUUUGAAGUUACCUCAGGAAUAAGCACCGGCUAACUACGUGCCAGCAGCCGCGGUAAUACGUAGGGUGCAAGCAUUAUCCGGAAUUAUUGGGCGUAAAGGGUUUGUAGGCGGUGUAUUAAGUAAGGGGUGAAAUCUCUGGGCCCAACCCAGAACCCGUCCCUUAAACUGGUAUACUAGAGGUAUGUAGAGGUAAGUGGAAUUUCCGGUGUAGGGGUAAAAUCCGUUGAGAUCGGAAGGAACGCCAAAAGCGAAGGCAGCUUACUGGACAUACCUGACGCUGAAAAACGAAAGCGUGGGGAGCAA
rnacentral:rRNA from 1 species